AGAGUUUGAUCCUGGCUCAGGAUGAACGCUGGCGGCGUGCUUAACACAUGCAAGUCGAACGAACCUUCGGGUUAGUGGCGGACGGGUGAGUAACGCGUGAGAAUCUGCCCUCAGGAGGGGGAUAACGGUUGGAAACGGCCGCUAAUACCCCAUAUGCCGAUAGGUGAAAUGAAUUUCGCCUGAGGAUGAGCUCGCGUCUGAUUAGCUUGUUGGUGAGGUAAUGGCUCACCAAGGCUUCGAUCAGUAGCUGGUCUGAGAGGAUGAUCAGCCACACUGGGACUGAGACACGGCCCAGACUCCUACGGGAGGCAGCAGUGGGGAAUUUUCCGCAAUGGGCGAAAGCCUGACGGAGCAACGCCGCGUGAGGGACGAAGGCCUCUGGGCUGUAAACCUCUUUUCUCAAGGAAGAAGAUAUGACGGUACUUGAGGAAUAAGCCACGGCUAAUUCCGUGCCAGCAGCCGCGGUAAUACGGGAGCGGCAAGCGUUAUCCGGAAUUAUUGGGCGUAAAGCGUCCGCAGGCGGCCUUUCAAGUCUGCUGUUAAAGCGUGGAGCUUAACUCCAUUAUGGCAGUGGAAACUGAUCCGGCUUGAGUAUGGUAGGGGCAGAGGGAAUUCCC
rnacentral:rRNA from 1 species